UCUGGGUGCCGAUACCUUGUCCUCCUCUUGCCUCUUCAGGCCUAUGGGUGAUAGUGGCUUUAAAUGUUUGGCUGAUUCUGUCUGGAUCUCCUUUUAUUGAUAAUUCCAGGAACUUGGUGGUGGCAGAAGUGGGAUCCAAAGUAGAGCUUCUCGUAACCCCCAGAAGCACUGAGUGACCAAGUGUGACACCAGCUGGACUCAUUGUGUCCAUUGCUCUCUUGCAGCACCUGGGGCUCAUGG
ensembl:lncRNA novel transcript